rnacentral:rRNA from 1 species
CCUACGGGUGGCAGCAGUAGGGAAUUUUCGUCAAUGGGGGGAACCCUGAACGAGCAAUGCCGCGUGAGUGAAGAAGGUCUUCGGAUCGUAAAGCUCUGUUGUAAGAGAGAAACGGGUAUCAUAGGGAAUGAUGUUAUCGUGAUGUUAUCUUACCAGAAAGCCACGGCUAAUUACGUGCCAGCAGGCGCGGUAAUACGUAGGUGGCAAGCGUUAUCCGGAAUGAUUGGGCGUAAGGGGUGCAUAGGCGGCAAAAUAAGUUGGAAGUAAACGGCGUUGGCAAAACCAACGUAAGCUUUGGAAACUGUCAAGCUAGAGUGCAGAAGAGGUGAGAGGAAU